UAGGGAGAGGAAGGAAAAGAAGGUUAAGGAAGGAAGGGAAACGAGAGAGGAAGGAAGGAAGAAUAGGGAGAGGAAGGAAAAGAAGGUUAAGGAAGGAAGGGAAACGAGAGAGGAAGGAAGGAAGAAUAGGGAGAGGAAGGAAAAGAAGGUUAAGGAAGGAAGGGAAACGAGAGAGGAAGGAAGGAAGAUUAGGGAGAGGAAGGAAAAGAAGGUUAAGGAAGGAAGGGAAACGAGAGAGGAAGGAAGGAAGAAUAGGGAGAGGAAGGAAAAGAAGGUUAAGGAAGGAAGGGAAACGAGAGAGGAAGGAAGGAAGAAUAGGGAGAGGAAGGAAAAGAAGGUUAAGGAAGGAAGGGAAACGAGAGAGGAAGGAAGGAAGAAUAGGGAGAGGAAGGAAAAGAAGGUUAAGGAAGGAAGGGAAACGAGAGAGGAAGGAAGGAAGAAUAGGGAGAGGAAGGAAAAGAAGGUUAAGGAAGGAAGGGAAACGAGAGAGGAAGGAAGGAAGAAUAGGGAGAGGAAGGAAAA